rfam:Trichosporon oleaginosus strain IBC0246 unplaced genomic scaffold CC85scaffold_15, whole genome shotgun sequence.
GUUCAAUUGGCGCAGCGGUUAGCGCGGCAGAUUGCAAUGGCCAUCCCAUUAAAAAUCUGUAGGUCCUUGGUUCAAUUCCGAGAUUGAACU